GCCCAUCUCAAAGCACAGGAGUAUUAAACUGCUGGAGAGAGCAAAUCUUCUGACCUGUUCUUGUUGACGGGUACGGCUGUCACCUAUAAUAGUUUCCUGUUCAUGUCCUGCAUCUGUUUCCUCUUGAUAACACAGGCAUGAAGAAGACUGAAACCUCCAGGACAAUUUAGCCUAGCCUGGUAUUUGCAUAUCUUUCCAUACGUGAUGGUUACAAAUGGCUUCUGAGUAGUUAUAAACUUCUGCUGCACUUUUAUCAUACCUGGAAGUACAACACGUCAAGAAGCACCAUGAUGUUACAGGUGUAUUUCAUCUGGCUCCUCUUCUCCAUGGUGGAAGAAUCCACUGGGGACAUCGUUAUAACACAGACACCAGCUUCUGUGACAGUGCUUCCAGGAGAGAUGGUCACCAUUCAGUGCAAGGCCUCCAGCUCCAUGAGUGAUGAUAUGGCUUUGCUGCUGUUCAAAUCUGGACAAACUCCCAAGCUCCUCAUUGCUGAUGGAAACAGCCGUUUCACUGGGGUCCCCGACCAGUUCAGUGGCAGCUAUAGUGGCACAGACUUCACCUUCACCAUCCGCGGGGUGCAGGUGGAAGAUGCUGGCGACUACUACUGUGGGCAGGACAACAGCCGCCCUCCCACAGUGAUACACUGCAGUACAAAAACCUCCUCAGUGCCACAGCAUCUGCUGUGUGAAGCAGAAGGAAGCAGGGGAGGCUGCUUCUGACACAGCUGAUCUGGAAAAUAAUGAAUGUUUUAG